rnacentral:misc_RNA from 1 species
GGAAGUACGUAACAAGGUCUCCGUAGGUGAACCUGCGGAGGGAUCAUUAACGAAUGGUCAUCCUUGAUCUUCAACCCUCAAACCACCGUGGACGACAGACGUGCUUCGGCGUCGAGAGGCGCCGCCUUUAUGCAUCGAGUCUUUGCUUUGUCUGUCUUAAGGAAAAAUGUCAAAACUUUCAACAAAGGAUCUCUUGGCUCUC